rnacentral:rRNA from 1 species
UACGGGGGGGGCAAGCGUUGUUCGGAAUUACUGGGCGUAAAGGGCUCGUAGGCGGCCAACUAAGUCAUACGUGAAAUCCCUCAGCUUAACUGGGGAACUGCGUGUGAUACUGGAUGGCUUGGAUUUGGGAGAGGGAUGCGGAAUUCCUGGUGUAGCGGUGAAAUGCGCAGAUAUCAGGAGGAACACCAAUGGCGAAGGCAGCUCGCUGGGACGUGACUGACGCUGAGACGCGAAAGCGUGGGGAGCAAACAGG